rnacentral:lncRNA from 1 species
CGUCAGCCUGGCGAGGCCGGAGUAGAAUUGUGGGAGGCUGGCGCCACUGCAGGCGGAGUAAGCCUCUGCUGCGCUCCACCCUGAGCUCCUAGGACCAGGGCGCAGGGAGAGCAAUUUGGUACUUUCUGGAUCCUCCAAGAAGCGGCCAGAGGAAGUGACAGAGUAUUGACUUUUUAUUAUUAGUCACUGUUCAUAAUUUGUUUCAACCAAAAGACAAUACACACAGCAGAAUCCGAAUGCAUCCCAUGUAAAUGUUUACAUCCAUGUUAUUCCUCACUCGCCUCCAAGAGACUUAUCAUUUCACUUUAAAGUGUUUUACAUCUCAAAAAUAUGUCUGCAAUAAUUAGAACUUCAUUAGCUGCCCCACUUGGAAACAGCCUUUUAAUAAUUUUACAGUAAAGAAGAUGUGAUGGGGCCUAAUGAAAACCGUAACUUACAACAUAGUAAAAGGAGAAGGACGAUGAUACAAGAACACAGUGGGGUUCACAAAGGAAGGAGUGCAGAAGCCCUUUCCCAUGAGGUCCCCCAAAUAAAAUAAAAACAAAACACACAAAGCGCAAAUGCAGGUCUUUAAGGGGAGAAAGUCUCCAAUGCUCUGUCUUGAAGCCAGGAGCAAGAAGCAACUGCUCAAGCUGCUUCAAGCCGCUUCAGCUUUUUCUUCUGUUUAAGAGUUCCAGGUUCUGGGACUGGAACCUUGUCCAUGGGACCCACUCUCUGCUAUUGCUUGAAAAGGGUUUUCACUUUCAGUUUAGGGCUCUGUAGUUAAAAUACAUUCAGUAGGAAAAGAAAAAUACACAUUCAAACUCCUCCUUCCCCAAGUUUUCACGGCCGAAAUAUAUUCCAAUGUAGAAGAAAAUAAAGUUGAACCACAAAAGCGGUAUUCCCUAACUUCCAACAUUCUCUAAAAGGGCGCAGAAAUGAAAAGCAAGGUGUCAUAUGGGAGAUGGAAAAUUUCAAACUAUUAGUGCUGGACAGUUUUAAAAGUCUGUUUUCAUAUGUGAGGGAAACAAACAAAGGUUAAGAGCCACACCAGGAACCAAGCAAGGAAUACCUGUACUGUUACACUGAGGAAUGUUGCUUUAAAUGAAAAAACCAAAAAACAACAACCAAAAAAAAAACCAAAACACCUCGAAGUUUAACAGAUGAUAACAUACACAGCAGAAAACCUCCAUGACUCCCUAAACCAUCUCAAGGUAACAGCACCAAAGCAUUGUGGGAGAAGCGUGUACAGUUGUCUGAGAUUACUUAGAGGAACUCUCCCUUAGGGUGACUCUGGGAUGGGAAAGAAGGAUGACAUAAAAACUACUCCUCGAGGAAGGCGAUGCUAAUGAGGUACAAGUGCGUAUAAAACUGUCAAUAAGUGGGGCUCACUGCUUAUCACCUUGGCUUUAUUCAAAAGUCACAGAAAUCACUCUCUUCACAAAGGCUCCGAGGUUGUCAUAUACAUCCAAAUCUGUUUCCUCUUGAAGGGUCACGUGUGGGAAAGGAAUGACUGAAAUGUGCGCGCGUAGUCACAGAAACGAAGAGAUUCCUCCUUUAAGCUGCAAGGCCGAGUGAGAAGAGAACUAAUGCUCCUAGAAACUAAGAAGGCACGCUGAAGCUUUCAAAGAUCCAAUCACAGGGGACAGUCUUCACAACCGUCAGCAUCCUAGGCAGGCAUCUGGCUGCUAGUCCGUCAGUAUGGUGUUCAGGUCGUCUCCCAAAUGAACUCCAUAUCUACACAGCACCCUUUGUGUUAAGGCCAUGAUUUUUUUUUUCCUUCUCGAUAAAGCCAUGGAUGAUUGUAAAUGCUACCUCCAAACUCAUCACCCGGGCUGAGGCUUUGUCCACAGAGGAGAUCUUUCCAGCUCCAUCGGCUAGCACUUGGUCUUGAGCAGAUUUCUUCAGAUUCAACUCAGUUCAACAACAACAACAACAAAAAGCAACCAAAAAACCUGAGCUGGUUAGCUACAAAUGGAGAAAAUAAAGCCUCCACACAAAAAAGGAAUGUUAAGACAAAAUUCUAUUCAAGAAAUCCACCAAUACAGCAUUAAUCCUAUCACGUUUCACAGCAUUAACUAUGCAUCCAAUGAAAUCCGUCUGCAGGAAAUCCUAACGGCUCCCACUGAUCAGGCAGAGCGGCUGUCUAAAGUCUGCACUUGUCCACACCUGUUUUGCUGAACACAGGAGAAAUAUCCUGUUUGUAACUCAGAUGUCCAUUUACCCAGUCAAGUAAAUUUCAGUAAAUCUUGCUCUUACAGGACUAUUAAGACCAGAAACUUUCCCUUUUGGAGCCUUUAGUUCAACUCCAGUUUGUCAAUGUUAGGAAUAGUCUAGCAUCUGAUACAGAGCUAGGUUUGACAAGACACUGAAGAAUUUAAGUAAAGGCGUGGUGAAAUGGAGCAGGGAGAAAGGGAGAUUUGUAUCAAGAGUUAAAACUGAAGCCAAAGUGUCGUCUUACUGCAUAAUACAGUAACAACUGCAAACG